UGUCUGUGUGUAUGGCUGUCUGUGUGUAUGUGUAUAAGACUGUCUGUGUGCAUGGAUGGCUGUCUAUGUGUAUGGCUGUCUGUGUGUGUGUAUUGCUGUAUGUGUGUGUGUAUUGAUGUAUGUGUGUGCAUGGCUGUCUGUGUUGUAUGGCUGUCUGUGUGUAUGUGUAUAAGACUGUCUGUGUGCAUGGAUGGCUGUCUAUGUGUAUGGCUGUCUGUGUGUGUGCAUGGCUGUCUAUGUGUGUGUAUUGAUGUGUGUGCAUGGCUGUCUGUGUGUGUGUGUGUGACUGUCUUUGUGUGUUUCUCUCUGUCAGUGUGUGUGUGUCUGUCAGUGAGUCUGUGUGUGUGUGUCUGGGAGGGAGCCUGUGUGUCUGAGUGAUUGUUAUGUCUGUGAGUGAGUGUGUGUGUCUGUGAGGGAGCCUGUUUGUCAGUUAGU